UUCUUGUUCCAGGCAACAAGUGGCAGGACAAGAGGAAGUGGCCUCAGGCUGCACAAGGGCAGGUUUAGGUCGGAUGUUAGAGGAUGUUUCUUCAGGGAAGGGGUGAAGUCAUCAUCCCUGGAAGUGUUCAAAAAUUGAGUGGAUGUGGCACCUAGGGAUAUGGGUUACUCGUGGCCUUGGCAGUGAUAGGGAAUCAAUAGCUGGAAUCAGUGAUUUUAGAGGGCUUUUCCAAUCUCAGCAAAUCUGCAAUUCUAUAAUUCUGCUGCUGUGGUACAACCAGUGAGCAUCUAUCACAUUCAGGGCCAUCAUCUGGAAGUACCCAUACCCUUACCUACCCGAGUGGUGAGUGUGGAAGGAGCUAGGAGGGAUGGCCAUGGGUUCUGGAUGAAUUUUAGGGACCCAUCUGCCUCCAUUUGUCCAUGAAUGGGAAAAACAUACAAAGACAAGCUGCUCAGAGCACCCUGGUCCUCCCAGCAGCUCUGUGUGUCCCAGUGGAGUGGCAGCUGUAUGUGCCUUUAGGUGGGGACCAUACACCCACCGUGGGCUCUUCCCUGCAGCUUUCCAAAGGCAUUUUAAUGAACCUGGUGUAGUGGCAGGGUGCAGAAAUGGUGAGUCAGACCCCAGAAUUGCCAGGCUCAGCGGCUGCUCGUGUUCAGUGAAGGUUGUGGAUUGUUCAGGGUUUGGGGAUUAUUUUCAGAUUAUUUCUGGAUUUUGGGGCUUGUGUGUCAUAGUGUGGUUUUGGUGGUUUUUGUUUUUGGUUUUUUUUCUGUAAUGGAGAGACUCCUUGCCUAAAGAAGACCUCUGCACAUUCACUGAAGUUGUCACAUCUCUGUUCCUGGAGGGUCUGGGAGCACAAAGGCUCCUGCCUGGGACGAGGCUCAUGGCAAACACAGGGGGCACAGUGCACAUCAGCAGUGUCUCCCAUCCACUUCACUGAACAGCACACAGAGCACACAACUACCCACCUCUCAAUCUGUUCUCUUUUCUUUUUAUCCACUCUCUUUUAAUUGCUGAUGAUCACUCCCAGGCUUUGCUCCAGGCUCAGUGAUGUGAUUCAUCUUGGCUGCUGUGGAGAUGGAAUGGGAACUGCUGUCUGCAGUGUUGGUGUGCCAUAGCUGCUCAUGAAAUCCUGUGCUGCUGGCAUGGUUGGGCCAUUUCCCCUAGAAGGGAAAAAAUGCUUUAUUUUCUCUUGAUGGAUUUUUAUGGUAGCUGUAAACAUGGAGCAGCUGCAGGACACAGGGAGUGAAACCACCUCACACCACUGGCAGCAAGGAAAUUCUUCGGCAUUGGAGACCUGAGAUUGAGCGUGGGUUUUCCGUCUGCCACCGGACGCCAUGGCACAGGCUGGCCCAAGGCAUCACCUUCUGUCCCCUUCCUUCACCACGUGUAGAGGCACCUGAAGAGGGAUGCAAUUCCCGAUACCAAGGCGUUGGCAAAGCUCCGAGCAUUGCUCGGCACUGCUGGUCCCACUGGCUCCAGCUGAAGGGUCCUGCAGCGGUUCAAGGACCAGAGGAAAGUUCACAGAGACCUCAUGAUCUGUGUGGAAAUGCUUCCCCUGUCCACAGCGGGGCUGAGGGGCUGUGUUUUAGCAGCUGCUUGAGCUUGUGUAAGGGGUGGGAAAGGAGGUGGAGCUGACCCCAAUGGGGCUCUCAGAGAGAGGUGUCUGGGGGGUGCCCACGGGCACACCAACCCCCCGGGCCUCCAGGACAGCGGUGAGCAGGCGCUGCUGCUGCUGGCGCAGCAUGUCAGCCAUCAGCAGGGGCAGGGAGUUGAAGCUGGCACUGAGCUGCUCCAGCUUGGAUUCCAGGCCACUGAUCUGCUUUUCCAGGUCCUCACUGCGGUCAUUUAGCUCUGUGAUGAGGUCGUACAUCACGUUCUGCAUCUGGGGAGGGGACACAGGGGAUAGUGGCGGGGUUAGUACUAUGGCUGGAGGGGUUAGUGCCACACUGCUGCUAGCAGAGCUCACCCCUUUACCCCUUUCUGCCCUGAGAGCUGCCCCAUCUCAGCCCUCCCCAGGUUCUCCAAGGGUUCUGCCACUGCAGUUUGGCUCAUCCCUGGCCAUCAAAGUGAGGAAACUCUGCUGGCCCUGUGCUGCUGAGGAGUGGUAUCCCUUGCAAAAAGGGUUGCAGGGAACCUCUGGCUCAUGAAUGUGUAUCUCCUGCUUUGCAAGGGCAGCCAUCCCACAGCAGCUAUUCCUUGCUGACAUUUACUGAGUCGGAGCAUUUUGCGGUCAGCCAAGUCUGCUUUAGUUAUUCCGAGUGAAGAGAAACACUCAGUCUGGCCAAGCCACAGGGUUCCUGUGGGACUUGCCUUUGAGAGGUCGACAAGGGUGUUGGCUUGGUCACUCAGCUUCCUCUGCUCCAUCUUCACGCUCCGUAACCUAGGGAGAAGGAAAGAGCACAUGGCUGUACUCCCGCCCUUCUUUCCAACUGCAUCUGGAGACCUGCCUGCAUUUUGGGCAAUGGAAAACUGUCCCCACACCCCUGCCAGGGACAGGAUCCUGGUUUAUCUGGAACUCGGUCUGCCCCCAGCCCACUGCACAGCCUCUUACUGGUGGAUGGCUUGUAGGAACUUCCUCUGGUGUUUUCUGACUUUAGCAUGGUCGAUCUUCUUCAGCAGCUUGGUGUGCUUGUAGAUCAGCCACGUUUCCCGCAGGACGUUGGCUGCCGCGUUCUUGAUCUGAAAAAGAAGAGUGGCUGCAGGUCACCAACCACGUGGGAUGUCAGAGACUCUGCUCUGGCUCUGCCAUGAACCAGUGCUGCACAUCACCUGCCCCAGCUGGAGCGAGGUGCUCGGCUCUGUACCCGCACGCUCUCUUGGACUGUUCCAGGGGAUGCUGCGCACUUCGAGCAGGAGUAAGAGAGGGCAGAGCUGUUGACCCCUGCUACUCCCACAUCCCAGUCCUGGCUCUUUGCCCACAUACAAAGUUGUACCAUAAGCCUCGAGAAAAAAAAUCCCAAAGUUUUUUCUCCACCAGCUGCCUGCAGGCUAGGGAAAAUGCUGCAUUUCAGGCUCUUUCUCAGAAUUUUUAACAUAUUCUCCAUUGCUAUGCUGGGAACCUCCUGAGAGAGAUCAGCAGGAGCUUCUGCUGGGCAAGAUGGACAGGGGGGCACCCAUCUGUGAAUCCUGGCAGGUCCCGGACCAGCAGGUCCCAGUUGUGCUGCCGGCACUGGGACGUGACUUCCGCAGGCUCUUCAGCUGAACCGCAGCUCAGCCGCUCACACCAGGAGCAAUUGGCUGCUCUCUGCCUGGCAUGGAGCCUGCAGAUCCCUAUCAAUGGCCAGUGCAGAGGGGCUCACCAGCUGUUUUGCUUUCCCAGCCUGGUGACACCAAGGUCCUGACUAUUCCUGGGGUGUCAGAGCUUUGUCUGGGGCUCUGGUCUCUGGGGUGAAGUGGGUGCCCUGCUUGCAUCCCACCACUGGUUUUCUUUCCAAGGGCUGCACUGAUGCUCAUUUUGCCACCAUCCCCUCUAAAAUGUAUUCUGUUGUUAUAUAUAACAUUAUAUAUGACAUUAUAUGACA